rnacentral:rRNA from 1 species
UACGGGGGGGGCAAGCGUUGUUCGGAAUUACUGGGCGUAAAGGGCUCGUAGGCGGCCAACUAAGUCGGACGUGAAAUCCCUCGGCUUAACCGGGGAACUGCGUCCGAUACUGGAUGGCUUGAGUUCGGGAGAGGGAUGCGGAAUUCCAGGUGUAGCGGUGAAGUGCGUAGAUAUCUGGAGGAACACCGGUGGCGAAGGCGGCAUCCUGGACCGACACUGACGCUGAGGAGCGAAAGCCAGGGGAGCAAACGGG